GGCUGGAGGACUACCUCUAAAAUCUGUUCCAACAUAUCCAACUCUCAUUACAACCUUUUUCUUGAGGAACGGUUCUCAUUUCUGAAAAGGGGUUGGAAGAGAGUGAGUCGAAGAGCAGAAGCAGUUGAAGAGAGUUGGAGGCAAAAGCAGAUAUGGCAGCGAACAAGAAGGGAAUAACAUUGAUGCCAAAGUGGAUAUUUUGCUUUCUCUUACACGAGUUGGAAUUGAAAGAAAGUGUGGGGAAGAAGAAACAUAAUUACUCAUCAUUUUCGAAACUUUCUUAGAUAGUGACCCCUUACCUCAUCUUCUAAACCCUAACCCCCAAAAAAAUCAUAAACAACAGCAACAAUAGGCUUAGAUAGUGACCCCUUACCUCACCUCCGUGCGAUGUUGAACUAUCACCUUCAAUCAAUCACCAAUGUCGUUAGCAGGAAUCACCAGAAAUGAACAACAAUGGCGUUCUCUCCAAUCGCGACAAAAAUGGCGUUAUCAGGGUUAGGGUUUUUUAAUUACCCUAAUUUUUUCAUUUCAUUUCAAUCCUCAAUUUUAAAACAUUAAAAUGUUUUCAGAAUGCCACGUCAUAUAAGUUUAAAACAGAUGGAUAAAAGUUUAUCACGC
rnacentral:lncRNA from 1 species